AUUGAACGCUGGCGGCAUGCCUUACACAUGCAAGUCGAACGGUAACAGGUUAAGCUGACGAGUGGCGAACGGGUGAGUAAUGUAUCGGAACGUGCCCAGUUGUGGGGGAUAACUGCUCGAAAGAGCAGCUAAUACCGCAUACGACCUGAGGGUGAAAGCGGGGGAUCGCAAGACCUCGCGCAAUUGGAGCGGCCGAUAUCAGAUUAGGUAGUUGGUGGGGUAAAGGCCCACCAAGCCAACGAUCUGUAGCUGGUCUGAGAGGACGACCAGCCAAACUGGGACUGGGACACGGCCCAGACUCCUACGGGAGGCAGCAGUGGGGAAUUUUGGACAAUGGACGCAAGUCUGAUCCAGCCAUGCCGCGUGCGGGAAGAAGGCCUUCGGGUUGUAAACCGCUUUUGUCAGGGAAGAAAAGGCUCCUUCUAAUAUAGGGGGCUCAUGACGGUACCUGAAGAAUAAGCACCGGCUAACUACGUGCCAGCAGCCGCAGUAAUAC
rnacentral:rRNA from 1 species